UAAGAUAAGCAAACAGAGGAGUGGAGCAGACGCUGAGGGAGUAGGACGGAUGGAGAGACAGAGAGUAGCGACAGCAGCAGCCGCAGAUUUAUUUGGUGACUGACCAUGUAGUCGUCUCACUCUCGCAAGCGCACCCGCGCGCCUAACAAGUGUCAAAAACCUUUUCUGCGAGCAUUGUGUUUAUUUAUGAAUUUGUGAAAAGUAUUAAUUAAGUCUCGAAAGUACUAUAUAAGCCGCCAGCACGUUUUGACCUUUGCCUGUGACGCGUCGUAGUUCAUAGAACGCGGAAAUUUGGCGGCGUGCUGCGUUCCUCAUUCUCGCGUCAUUCGUUUCGUGUUUUGUGCUCUUUUUUGCACAGGUCAGCGCGAGUGCAACGCACAUAACGGUAAAUGUUGUGGCUGGCUGCAGUGUUUGGUGUGACUCAGUUUAAUGCGAUUUACCUCUUUUCGUUGGUUAUAAUCUUGUCCGGCGGCUCGUUAUGGCCAAAGAAUGAUAUAUAAUAGACCAUGGCGAAUGUGCUUUGCUUUCCUUUCCCUCUCGCCCGCACUUAAUUCCAAUUUCCACGGCCAAUUGUGUUUGUUUUUGUAAUUAGUUGUCGCGCACUAAGAAUUUCAUUCAUUCGUACUCAACGGCGACGUCGACGGCGCUGCAUUAAUGCAAAUUUUUACGCUUGCUUUUCGCUGGCAGCAGUUUUUUGUUUUACGCACAGAAGUGGCAGCGGAUGGAGUGGCGUUACAGUAACUUUUGAUUAAAAACGUUCACUCGGUUCGUGCCAAGCACAAACAGCCACCGCGCGCACACUCACACACAGACACACAGAGACUGGCCGAGUUGCUGCUAUUUUUUGUCGCCAAAAAAAUUAAAUGACGUCAAGUUGCGCUUUAGAUAACGAAACGGAGAACGCGUUAUUCCGACCCAACCGUCCGCACCAAAGGUAGAUACAAAUCAACUACAAAAAAACUGGCCGAAGCUGGCUUUAGGCCGAAACCGAGACCGCCACGGAGAGAGAGCAAAGCGAGCGCACAGCACCACAAAAAUUGGUAUGUACCGCCGUGUGCUAAGCCGAUUUCCUCCCUCGAAACCAGUUUGGAGCGCAGGUUGCACUGCGCAUGUGUGUGCCCGGAGAGACAGAGCGCGAGAGAGAGAGAGAGAUGCCAUGAAGAAGAGAGCCAUGGCCAACCACCGAAGCAGCAGUUGCAAGGUACUCCACCACUCCCGGCUGUCUGUUGUUGGUAUUGGUAUUGGGAAACUGGAGCUGGCUCCAAAAAGCUCCGGGAUCCAAACAUGUCCGAUCAUGUUUACAGGCCUAAAAGCUUAUGCAGCUGCGGGAAGCUUUUGGCCUCAGUACGAGAAAUGAUAAACAAAACGCGACAGAGACCGAUGAUAGUGAUUCGAAUUCGAGAUAGUAGAUGAUAGCU